UCCUUACAAAGUUUUCUUUUCCUCAAGUUUCACGGGGUGUUCUGUCUAUUUUCAUUUGCACAUGUGUUAAUUGACUGUGACCAGACCACGGAUUCUCCUCGGGUCCCUCCUCACGGAGGUUUCAUGAGUAGAACAAGACCCUAGGGUGGUCUUGAGCAAGCACAUCAGAACGAGAGUUAAGUCAGUGAGGCCCUAACGGCCCACUCCGGGGGGUCGGGGGCGCUCAGUGUGGUGGCCCGCGCGCGUGACAGCGGGACUAGCACAAAAUAAAGGAGUUAUUCGGGACGACAAAACCAAAUCCAUCCCGGGUAAAGGUGCUGGAUUCUCCAACAAGCUUAACACACAACAGGUGCUCCUCCAAGCUACACUCCGACGUUGACAAGAACCGGAGGGAAGAGGCCCCCGAGGAUCCAAACCAGCCCCUGGAUGAGGCCUGCGGCCUUUGUGAGCACGGAUCCAAGAGGUCCGAGUACCUGGGCGCAGAGCAGGAUUUGGUUCUGCUGGAAGAUUCAGGGCCCACUGCUUAUUUAUGGGUCAUCCACAUCCGGGCAGGCAACAAGAACAUGUGGCUGGAAUCAAGACUCCAGCAACAACAAGCGUCAAGAGAAAUCUUGGGGUGAGCUAUGAAUGACAAACACACUUCAGACUGAAGGCUUUCGAAGUUGAACAGUCAAGAUGGAGGAUCCAGAUAAACCUCCUAAGGGCCACAAACGGAUGUUGGUCUCCACAGCUCGUG
rnacentral:lncRNA from 1 species